GACUCGGUGCCGCAACGGUAGCGCGUCUGACUCCAGAUCAGAAGGUUGCGUGUUCGAAUCACGUCUGGGUCA
rnacentral:tRNA from 1 species